UAGGGAAUUUUCGGCAAUGGGGGGAACCCUGACCGAGCGAUGCCGCGUGAGUGAUGAAGGUCUUCGGACUGUAAAACUCUGUUAUUAGGGAAGAAUACUAUAGGGAGGAAAUGCCUUAUAGAUGACGGUACCUAAUGAGGAAGCCCCGGCCAACUAUGUGCCAGCAGCCGCGGUAAUACAUAGGGGGCGAGCGUUAUCCGGAAUUACUGGGCGUAAAGGGUGCGUAGGCGGUUUCUUAAGUCUAGUGUGAAAGCCCACGGCUUAACCGUGGAGGGUCAUUAGAAACUGGGAGACUUGAGUACAGCAGAGGUAAGUGGAAUUUCUAGUGGAGCGGUGAAAUGCGUAGAUAUUAGAAGGAACACCAGUGGCGAAGGCGGCUUACUGGGCUGGAACUGACGCUGAGGCACGAAAGCGUGGGGAGCAAACAGG
rnacentral:rRNA from 1 species